rnacentral:lncRNA from 1 species
AUAUUUCUACUUAUUAGAAGGCGGAAUACAUGCACCUCUUCGUCAAUAUGUGUUUCCUUGAGUUCCUAGUUUGUUUGGGAUAUUUUUGUAAGUUUAUCAAUAUACAGCUCAAACUUAUAAUUGGUAACUCUUUCUAAUGUUUCCAACACGUGGGAUCCCGAUUCCUCAAAGCUAAAAACUCAUUCAACAGAACUUGUUAGAACCAUCCACUUCUAAGUUGGGCAUCAAUUGCCCCAAAAUCUACCGAACCUCACCUAAUAAUUUAACGAAAUUAGAGCAAUUAGCAUUUUCCCGAUUCACAUCUACCACAAAGAGUAGGUUUAUUCCAAUCACUCCAACAUUUCAUUUUAUUUAUGCUUUCUAUUCAACUUUUUCUUCUUCUACAAAAAGACCAGAUCUUAGGGGUUUUGUCUUGAUAGCGAUCUUUUCUUCAUUUUCGUCUUAAGAUCCAUUUCAAAAAGGUGAAAACAAGCUGAGGUUGAGUUUUAAUUUGUUCUAUGUUUUUUAUUAAUUUAUUUUGGAUUUCUUAUGUGAAUUCAAAGUUCUCUUUAUUUUAUUUUUUCUGCGAUUAUACUUUCUUUAAGUAGGAAUUGUUAGAAGUUCAUCAAUAUGCCUGCUUUCCGAAGGGAAAUUUCGUCUUCACAAUGUUAUUAUGCCAUGCACAAUUCCAGUGGUAUUCCUGUACCGACGGAUUUGAGUUGUUUAGAGAGAGGCUACAUAGGUAAUUUCACAGGCUAACCUGACUUCACCGCUUAAUUCUCUGCAACACCAAGAUUUUCCUUCGCAUCUCUGUCAUCUCUUUGUUUAGAUUCUCUUGGCUUCUCCGCUGAUUCUGUCUUUUUGCAUGAUGCACAUCAAUUUAUGUUAUAUAUUUGUGACGACUCGUCCGGUCGGCUUAAGAAUUAACGCCCCUAUCCUCUAUUAAAUGCUUUUCUCAAGUUUAUUUCUGCUAAUUUGAUUUGCCGGGAUGUUCAGUUUUGAGUUUCGGUGAGUUUUAGGACACUUAGUCCCUAAAUGAGAGCUAAAGUUUUGAAAAGUUGUCCAUAGUCAGAGCAGUUUGAAGAUGGCCUCGCAAUGGAAAUCCAAGGAUUGUGCUACCUUCAUUAGGUGAUUUCGGGAUUAGGAGCGCAUUUGGAUUGUAUUUUGGAGGUCUGUAGCUAAUUUAGACUUGAAAUGCAGAAGUUUGGAUUUGGAAGUUUUCGGUGCGAUAGUGAGAUUUUGAUCCAAGGGUCGGAAGGGAACUUUUAGAGUUGUUGUAGUUUCGUUAGAUCAUUUGGGAUGUGUGUGCAAAAUUUUAGGUCAUUCGGACGUGGUUUGGUUGGGUUUUUGAUCGGAAGCGUAUUUCGGAUGUUUUAAGAAAACUUAGGCUUGAAUUCGAUGCGAAUCGACAGAUUUGGUUUUGUUUGAGGUGUUUUGAUGAUUGGAACAAGUUUAACUGAGGUUUUAGGGGGUGCUAGUAUUUUUGGUUGAGGUCCGGGGGGCCUCAGGUGAGUUUCGAUGGUCAAUCGGACCAUUUUCCAAGUUAAAGUGUUGCAGAAAUUGAUCAUCAGUUGUUGUAGAAGAAUUGACCUUCAUGAUAGCGUGGGGCUGGUCGCGACUGCUUAGAAGGGAUAUGGUAGGCCAGGAUUUAGACCUUCGCAUUCGCAUAAGGUGGCUCGCGGUCACGGAAGGUGAGGGGUCUAUGCUUCGCGUUUGCAGGGGAAGGUAUGUGUUCGCGUAUAUGAAUUUAGGUCCUAGGGCAUUUCUCCUCGUAUUCGCGUAUGCGGGGCCGCAUUCGCGUAGCUCUAGGAAUUAAAGCAUCGUGUUUGCAGCAGCAUUAUCGCAUUCACAUAGUGUUAUUUUGGGAAGUCGAAAUUUAGUACUUUGCGAUCGUGAGACUUGGGACGCGAUCGUGAUGAAAGAAGUUCAGAACUGGGCAGAAAGUUAAUAAAAUAUUUCAUCUGCGAUUCUGAGCCAUUUGUUUCUCUAUAGCUGAGUAUUUUAAGAGCUUUUUGAGGGAGAUUCAAGAGGGAAUCAAGGAGAAUCGAUUGGAGGUGAGAUUAUUGAACCUUAAACGUGAUUUUAUUGUGAAAAUAAUUUAGAAAUUCAUGAAAAUAUGGGGAAAAAUAGAAGAACUAGGGCUUGAAAUUUUAAAAUUUUAAUCUGUGUUUUGAGGGGUCAUUUGGACUCCGAACUUUGUGUUAUUGUUAUGUAUAGACUCAUGAGAGUAUGAGGUUUUCGAAAAUAUAAGUUUCAUCCAAUUCCGAGACGUUGGCCUGAGGGGAAUUUUGGUUAUUUUACCUAAUUUCACGUCUUAACUUUAAAUUUAAUUGUUGAAUCAGUUGUUUGAGAUGUUAUUUACGAUAUGCAAUUGAAUUGAACAUAUUUGUCCAUUUGGAGUCCGAUACUCAUGGCAAAGGCGUGAUUUCUAGUUGAUUUUGAGCCGAUUCGAGGUAAGUGGCUUGUCUAAACUUAUGUGUGGGACUUCUCCCCUUAGAAUAUGAUAUUUGGUAAUUGAAUUUCCUUGUGCAUGAGGUGACGAGCGCGUGCUUGUGCAAGUUGUUAAAAAAUCCAAUUUUCUUAAAGUAUUCCUUAGCCUGUUCCUUUUUCAUGCUUUACUGUAAUUACUGACUUAGCCUGUUGUUAGUUAGAAGAGCAUGUUUAGUUGACUUAUAUUUUCUAUUUGCUUAAACUGCCUUAAUUGCAUUAUGUGCAGGCUAGAAUUGAUUGUUUACUUAUACGGAGGUGGAAUUUAAUUUAAUAUUCGUGCGUCACUGUUGUGUAUUUUAAAUUGGGACUACAGAACGGUAUUCUGGGAGAUCCCCUGUAUAGAAGUUAUUAUUUGGACCGAGGUGCAGGAUACCAAGAGAUCUCUGUCAUUUAUUUUGAGGAUACCAAGAAAUUCUCGGGAUACUAAGAGAUCCCUACAUUUAUAUUGAGGAUACCAAGAGAUCCUCGGGAUACCAAAAGAUCCUUGGCAUUUAUAUUGAGGAUAGCAAGAGAUCCUUGGCAUUUAUAUUGAGGAUACCAAGAGAUCCUCGGGAUACCAAGAGAUCUCUGAUAUUUAUAUCGAGGAUACCAAGAGAUCCUCGGGAUACUAAGAGAUCCUCGAUUAUUAUUAUUCUUGUUAGGAGUGGUAUUUCCUUGUAUUUUGCCUUUAUUUCUGUUUUUUUUCGUUAUUGUACUCUUGUUAUCUGUAUAGACUCUUGUUGUAGAUUCUCAAUUAUACUGUUUAUCUUAUCCUGUUAUUACUAUUACUAUUUUACCUCACUAGGGCCCGAUCUUCCUUGUCACUACUCCACCGAGAUUAGGUUUGGCUCAUACUGAGUACCGCUGUGGUGUACUUAUGCCCCUUCUAUGCAUGUUUUUCAUGUGUAGAUCCAUGUAGCGCUGCCCAAGCGUAUCACCCUUGAGGCGCAGAGAUCUAGCAGAGACUUCGAGGUACAUUUGCCGCAUCCGCAGAACAAGGAGUCUCUAUGUUAUUCUAUCUUUUAGUAGUUAGCCUUCCUUCUUACUGUUGUUUUCGACAUUUUUGAGUUAGAGCAUUGUACUACAUUUCCUUCAGCUUGUGUUCCAGUGAGUUUAUGGGUUUUGGGAUAGUAUUGUAGAAGUUGAGAUAUUGUGUUGUAUGUGCCGAGUGGC